rnacentral:hammerhead_ribozyme from 1 species
AUUCAGCUAAAGUCCCAAAUAGAACGAAACGCGUGUCCUGGAU